rnacentral:sRNA from 1 species
GGAGAAUGACAGGAUGACGGCGCGGGGGAAGUCAGAAAAAUGGGUAAGAAGAGUCGAGUAAAAACUCAGAAAUCUGGCACUGGUGCUACAGCCACUGUGUCACCAAAGGAAAUCUUGAACCUGACCAGUGAGCUGCUGCAGAAAUGCAGCAGUCCGGCGCCUGGCCCAGGAAAAGAGUGGGAAGAGUAUGUGCAGAUCCGGACUCUAGUUGAGAAAAUACGGAAAAAGCAAAAAGGCAGAAGAAUUGUUUUUAUGGGUUCCACGAAAAUUGCUAAUGACUGUUGAAUCUGCUAAAAAUUCAGUGUUGGGGCCCUUAUAUUCUCAAGACCGAAUCCUUCAAGCCAUGGGAAACAUCGCACUGGCCUUUCAUUUGCUGUGUGAGCGAGCCAGCCCUAACUCCUUCUGGCAGCCCUAUAUUCAAACCCUCCCCAGUGAAUAUGACACUCCUCUCUACUUUGAAGAAGAUGAAGUUCGGUAUCUUCAGUCCACACAAGCUAUACAUGAUGUCUUCAGCCAGUAUAAAAACACAGCUCGACAGUACGCCU